AUGGAUAACAAAGGGGGGAGAAAAAACAGAAAAGAGGGAAGUUUUUUCAAGAAUAACAGCAAGAAUCAGAGUAAAAAGAAGCAUAAGCAUCAACAAGAGAGGGAUGGAAAACUUACUGCUUUUUUGAAGCUCCAUCGGAGAGACUCCCAUAGGUAUUUUUCUUCCUCUCUAUUACUUAUGCAUCCGUGUAUGCUAGAUUCAUUUGUAUAG